rnacentral:rRNA from 1 species
GUAGGGCGCGAGCGUUGUCCGGAUUUAUUGGGCGUAAAGAGCUCGUAGGCGGCUCGUUGCGUCAACCGUGAAAACCCGGGGCUUAACUUCGGGCUUGCGGUUGAUACGGGCGGGCUGGAGUUCGGUAGGGGAGACUGGAAUUCCUGGUGUAGCGGUGAAAUGCGCAGAUAUCAGGAGGAACACCGGUGGCGAAGGCGGGUCUCUGGGCCGAUACUGACGCUGAGGAGCGAAAGCGUGGGGAGCGAACAGGAUUAGAUACCCUGGUAGUCCACGCUGUAAACGUUGGGCGCUAGGUGUGGGGGGCCUCUCCGGUUUCCUGUGCCGUAGCUAACGCAUUAAGCGCCCCGCCUGGGGAGUACGGCCGCAAGGCUAAA